AUUUUGUGAUAGAAUUCACAUGUUCAGAAUUAUGUUUAAAAUAAUAAAAUUGGAUUGAAUGAUUUCAGUGUUUGUAAUAAUUGAAAAAUAGAUUGAAUUUGAGAUGCAACAAAGUUAAUGAUGGGAAAUAUCCAUUUCGUGCAAAAUGAUAAUUUUGACUCCUUAAGAAUUGAAUUCUAUCACUUGAAGAGCUUUCCAAAUAUGAGAAUUGAG
rnacentral:misc_RNA from 1 species